rnacentral:rRNA from 1 species
CACGGGGGGGAGCAAGCGUUGUUCGGAAUCACUGGGCGUAAAGAGCGUGUAGGCGGUUUGGUAGGUCCGCUGUGAAAACUCGAGGCUCAACCUCGAGACGCCGGUGGAAACCAUCAGACUAGAGUCCGGAAGAGGAGAGUGGAAUUCCUGGUGUAGCGGUGAAAUGCGCAGAUAUCAGGAAGAACACCCGUGGCUAAGGCGGCUCUCUGGAACGCAACUGACGCUGAGACGCGAAAGCGUGGGGAGCAAACAGG